rnacentral:rRNA from 1 species
UUGGAGGGCAAGUCUGGUGCCAGCAGCCGCGGUAAUUCCAGCUCCAAUAGCGUAUAUUAAAGUUGUUGCAGUUAAAAAGCUCGUAGUUGAAUUUCGGAGUUUGUCGGUUGGGCGGGCUUCACUGUCCGCAUUGACCUGAUGGAUUCCUACCUUCUGAAUAACCAGCACACUAUUAAGUUAGUGCGUUGGGGAAGCAGAGCUAUUACCUUGAAAAAAUUAGAGUGCUUAAAGCAGGCUUAUGCUUGAAUAGAUUAGCAUGGAAUAAUAAAAUAGGACGGCAUGGUUCUAUUUUGUUGGUUUCUAGGAUCACCGUAAUGAUUAAUAGGGAUAGUUGGGGGCAUUAGUAUUCAAUUGUCAGAGGUGAAAUUCUUGGAUUUAUUGAAGACUAACUUCUGCGAAAGCAUUUGCCAAGGAUGUUUUCAUUAAUCAAGAACGAAAGUUAGGGGAUCGAAGACGAUCAGAUACCGUCGUAGUCUUAACCAUAAACUAUGCCGACUAGGGAUCGGACGAUGUUAAUUUUUUAAUGACUCGUUCGGCGCCUUACGGGAAAC